rnacentral:rRNA from 1 species
UCCGUAGGUGAACCAGCGGAGGGAUCAUUACCGAGUUUACAACUCCCAAACCCAAUGUGAACGUUACCAAACUGUUGCCUCGGCGGGAUCUCUGCCCCGGGUGCGUCGCAGCCCCGGACCAAGGCGCCCGCCGGAGGACCAACCAAAACUCUUAUUGUAUACCCCCUCGCGGGUUUUUUUAUAAUCUGAGCCUUCUCGGCGCCUCUCGUAGGCGUUUCGAAAAUGAAUCAAAACUUUCAACAACGGAUCUCUUGGUUCUGGCAUCGAUGAAGAACGCAGCGAAAUGCGAUAAGUAAUGUGAAUUGCAGAAUUCAGUGAAUCAUCGAAUCUUUGAACGCACAUUGCGCCCGCCAGUAUUCUGGCGGGCAUGCCUGUCCGAGCGUCAUUUCAACCCUCGAACCCCUCCGGGGGGUCGGCGUUGGGGAUCGGCCCUCCCUUAGCGGGUGGCCGUCUCCGAAAUACAGUGGCGGUCUCGCCGCAGCCUCUCCUGCGCAGUAGUUUGCACACUCGCAUCGGGAGCGCGGCGCGUCCACAGCCGUUAAACACCCAACUUCUGAAAUGUUGACCUCGGAUCAGGUAGGAAUACCCGCUGAACUUAAGCAUAUCAAUAAGCGGAGGAAAAGAAACCAACAGGGAUUGCCCCAGUAAC